rnacentral:rRNA from 1 species
ACUCCUACGGGAGGCAGCAGUAGGGAAUAUUGGUAAUGGGCGAAAGCCUGAACCAGCAACGCCGCGUGUGCGAUGAAGGCCUUCGGGUUGUAAAGCACUUUUGACCGGGACGAGGAAGGACGGUACCGGUGGAAUAAGCCUUGGCUAACUACGUGCCAGCAGCCGCGGUAAAACGUAGGAGGCGAGCGUUAUCCGGAUUUACUGGGUGUAAAGCGCGUGCAGGCGGUAAGCUAAGUUGGGUGUGAAAGCUCCUGGCUCAACUGGGAGAGGUCGCUCAAGACUGGCUGACUCGAGGAUGGUAGGGGAAGGUGGAAUUCCGGGUGUAGUGGUGAAAUGCGUAGAUAUCCGGAGGAACACCAGUGGCGAAGGCGGCCUUCUGGACCAUCACUGACGCUCAGACGCGAAAGCUAGGGUAGCAAACGGGAUUAGAGACCCCGGUAGUCCUAGCCGUAAACGAUGCGAACUUGGCGCUGGUCGGGUAAAACUGAUCCGUGCCGUAGCAAACGCGAUAAGUUCACCACCUGGGGACUACGGCCGCAAGGUUAAAACUCAAAGGAAUUGACGG